UACGGAGGGUGCGAGCGUUAUCCGGAAUUACUGGGUUUAAAGGGUGCGUAGGCGGCUUGGUAAGUCAGGAGUGAAAGUUUGCGGCUCAACCGUAAAAUUGCUUUUGAUACUGCCAGGCUAGAAUCAGGAUGAGGUCAGCGGAAUGUGGCAUGUAGCGGUGAAAUGCAUAGAUAUGCCAUAGAACACCUAUUGCGAAGGCAGCUGGCUAGACCUGUAUUGACGCUGAGGCACGAAAGCGUGGGGAGCGAACCGG
rnacentral:rRNA from 1 species